rnacentral:lncRNA from 1 species
UGCCAGUUUUUUAAUUCAAUAGAAUGUUGUGGAGUUAACCACUUCGAUGCAAUCUUUUAUAGAUUCAGAUUUUGGUUGACAAUGUGAACUUCCUCCUGGUUUUCAAAAUAACCUCAAGAACAUGUCCAGUGUAAAUGCCAAAUUUUGAAAAUCCUCCACAGAUCUAUAUGGUUGGUAACGACAUUGGUUCAAAUAUUGCUGCCAGUCUGAAUUUACUUCUGAUUGUUUAUUAGAAUUUGCUGGUUGUAAAUAUGUGCAGAAAUGCCUGGCGUAGUCAGCUUCACUGAUUUCCAGAAAAUGUUAUUGCUAUGAAGUCCAGCGUGAAAUGUCUGGAGGUAUAGUAAAUGUCUCUGUUUCAGAGGAACAGCAUAUUGAUGACAGUCCAAUUAAGCAUACCUGCUGGACAAAUCCAUGGUGAAUUGUCAGAUACUAGUCAUGAAGGGGUCACAAUUAGUGUAGUUGAUAGUACACAUGGAAAUGUCAGGUGCAACAAUUGUACUGGCCAUCCAGAGAAUGUAACUCCUUUGAAUUCAUCGUCCAUAACCAAUCAUCUAACAGUGUUUUAUCAUCAAGGCCUCCCUGGGCUUGUCUGGACGACAUAAAUAAGGAGAGGCUUUAUUAAAAAAAUUUCCAUUUUGAAGAUAACCAUUGCAUUCCCUAUAUAUGCUUAUUGUUACUACCUUGAUGAAACAUUGUAAAAUAAGGGGUUACUAACUUGUCUCUCUGUUAUAUUUGCAUAUUUGAGCUGCAUUACCGUUCAGACAUUUUCCUGAGAUAUUUGGGCUGUCUAAAUUUAGGGAUUACUAUAAAAUUAUAGUUAGAUUUUAUUGUUAUAUAAAUCAUGUUAACAGGUUAGAUCUGCACUGUCUAUUGUUACGAAGGAGCAGGAGCUUAGUGCAGCACACAAUCUCAAUCAUGUCUAAAUGCAUCUUCCUUUGAGUGCAAGGUUAAUGAGUUUACUUAUGGUAUUCAUCUGUCACCUUUGGUAAUACAUAAAGUUUAUGUGUUGGUUUUGGUAUCGGAUACUAGAUGGUUAGCUAUAUCUGGAGGCUCAAUGCCUUUUUAAAGAGCCAACAGUCUCAAGUGAAGAAACGGAACUUAAUCUUUAGUGCUCUGCUCCAGAUGAAGAAGUUAUGAUUAUUCUGCUAUUGAAUAUCCUUUAAAAAAUACAUGGAUUCACGUCUGAUCCACAUAUGUUUGUUCUAUCUAUAUCUGUUUAGUUCUUUGGCUUGAUAACUAGGUUGCAUUAUGUUGCCUUUCUUUUCUUAUAGGGGUUAUAACAUUUCUGAUAAAAAGUGAGAAUCGGUUCACCAAUGAUAUGGUGACAAAGGUUUGUGACUUUGAAUACUAUUAUUAUGGACUAUUUGAGUAGAGUUUCAAUGAGCUAUCAUUGGCUCUUCAAUGAACAAUUUUGUUAUGAUUUGUAUAUCAUUGUCAGGCAAUAGAAAAAAUUAUAGCAGCAAAUAACAAGUCAUCACAAGACGGUUAAGUGAUUCUUAACUCAACUUCAUGAGCGUUAAAACUUUCUCUUUUAUUGUCCUAACUAGCUCCUUUUCAUUCCCUUUUUGUGUAAAUACAGAUUGUAAUCAGUUGAGUAAACUGUAAAUCCAUCUGUACAUAUGAAACGGAAG